rnacentral:rRNA from 1 species
AGUGGCAAACGGGUGAGUAUAAUGUGGGAAUCUGCCUUUUGGUUUGGAAUAACACGGGGAAACUUGUGCUAAUACCGGAUAAGCCCUUACGGGGAAAGUUUUAACGCCGAAAGAUGAGCCUGCACUUGAUUAGCUAGUUGGUAAGGUAAAGGCUUACCAAGGCAACGAUCAAUAGCUGUUCUUAGAGGAAGACCAGCCACAUUGGGACUGAGACACGGCCCAGACUCCUACGGGAGGCAGCAGUGGGGAAUCUUGCACAAUGGGGGAAACCCUGAUGCAGCGAUGCCGCGUGAGUGAAGAAGGCCCUUGGGUUGUAAAACUCUUUCGUCGGGGAAGAAAAUGACUGUACCCGAAUAAGAAGGUCCGGCUAACUUCGUGCCAGCAACCGCGGUAAUACGAAGGGACCUAGCGUAGUUCGGAAUUACUGGGCUUAAAGAGCUCGUAGGUGGUUAAAAAAGUUGAUGGUGAAAUCCCAAGGCUCAACCUUGGAACUGCCAUCAAAACUUUUUAGCUAGAGUGUGAUAGAGGUAAGUGGAAUUUCUAGUGUAGAGGUGAAAUUCGUAGAUAUUAGAAAGAACACCAAAUGCGAAGGCAACUUACUGGGUCACUACUGACACUGAGGAGCGAAAGCAUGGGUAGCGAAGAGGAUUAGAUACCCUCGUAGUCCAUGCCGUAAACGAUGUGUGCUAGACGUUGGAAAUAUAUUUUUCAGUGUCGCAGCGAAAGCAUAAGCAC